rnacentral:lncRNA from 1 species
UACCUCGUGUAGAGCUACGCGUAUUGGAAUUGUUCAGUACAACUUUCGCCUCUCUUCGUGCAGGUCCCCUGCCUAAGUGGGUCCAAAUAUCACGUUUAUGUUGUGGAGUCGCACCAAGUGGUGCCAGGUUCUUGCAAGAUUGUGAAGACUGUUGCAAUUCCAUUUUCGUAUAGCCCUUAUUUGUCGGAUAAUAGUUUUGGCCUCGGAUUUACUUGGGACGUGACUGGGCACGAAGAUUUUGAAGUGGAAGGAGGUGAUCGUGGAUUAUGGCUUACAAAAUUUUUCGAUGUAGGAGG